rnacentral:misc_RNA from 1 species
GAUGAAGAACGUAGCGAAAUGCGAUAAGUAAUGUGAAUUGCAGAAUUCAGUGAAUCAUCGAAUCUUUGAACGCACCUUGCGCUCCUUGGUAUUCCGAGGAGCAUGCCUGUUUGAGUGUCAUGAAAUUCUCAACCUUUCUGGCUUUUGCUAGUCAGGCUUGGAUUAUGGGAGCUGCUGGCUUUUGAAGUCGGCUCUUCUAAAAUGCAUUAGCAAGAUCAUUGCUGCUCAUCAUUGGUAUGAUAAUUAUCUAUAUCAUUGAGAGUCUGCAUCCUUUAUGGAAGGAUUUUGCUUCUAACCGUCUUUUCCUGAGACAACAUUUGACAAUUUUGACCUCAAAUCAGGUAGGAUUACCCGCUGAACUUAAGCAUAUCAAUAAGCGGAGGA